rnacentral:rRNA from 1 species
AGUGAACGCUGGCGGUAGGCCUAACACAUGCAAGUCGAACGGCAGCACAGAGGAGCUUGCUCCUUGGGUGGCGAGUGGCGGACGGGUGAGGAAUACAUCGGAAUCUACUCUUUCGUGGGGGAUAACGUAGGGAAACUUACGCUAAUACCGCAUACGACCUUCGGGUUAAAGCAGGGGAUCGCAAGACCUUGCGCGAUUGAAUGAGCCGAUGUCGGAUUAGCUAGUUGGCGGGGUAAAGGCCCACCAAGGCGACGAUCCGUAGCUGGUCUGAGAGGAUGAUCAGCCACACUGGAACUGAGACACGGUCCAGACUCCUACGGGAGGCAGCAGUGGGGAAUAUUGGACAAUGGGCGCAAGCCUGAUCCAGCCAUACCGCGUGGGUGAAGAAGGCCUUCGGGUUGUAAAGCCCUUUUGUUGGGAAAGAAAGGCACACGGUUAAUACCCGAGUGUUCUGACGGUACCCAAAGAAUAAGCACCGGCUAACUUCGUGCCAGCCGCCGCCGUAA